rnacentral:lncRNA from 1 species
UGUGGAUACUAUGUUUGGACUUGCCUUCUCUCUUCUUGCAGGAGGGAUAUUUAUAGACAAUGAAAAGUUUGAAUGAACCCUUUAUUCCAUGAUUAUUUUUCGACUUUUAGAGCUUAUGAAAUUGAGAAGUUAGAAAUAUUAAUGAGAUUAAAUAUUGUUUUUUUUUUAUUUUUCCCAUAAAUGCAUAUAGAACAGUAUGAGGUGCUUAUGUGUAAGAGCAUAGAAUAUUUAAAUAAUAAAGAAUAUUCGAUUGAGCUUUAGUUCG